CUGGUACCUCUAGCAAAACACAAGGUCCAGGGCAGCCAAGAUCCCAGGUCAUGUGCUUUGCUAGAGGUAGCAGCAAGAUCAUAACUCCGGUUUUCUAAUUGUGAACUCUGCACUCUCUGGUCUUAAAAUUCCCUUCACUGAAUUUUACACACAGGUCUACACAUUACUGACGCAUGGCAAGCAAGAACAGACAGGAAGGAUGCCACAGAGACUCACCCACACACAGGGAUGGAGAAGGUUCUAGUCAGGAGAGCAGCUUGGCUCUGUGAGAAUGGAAUAGGAAUGCCUUCGAGGACAAAUACCAGCUCAAAUGCACAAUAGCCUG